CGAGCCGGGCGGACGGCCGCGUGGAGUCCCCUUCGGGGGCGCUUCCCGAGGAACGUCCGGGCUCCACAGGGCAGGGUGGUGGCUAACGGCCACCCGGGGUGACCCGCGGGACAGUGCCACAGAAAGCAAACCGCCCAGCGCUUCGGCGCUGGGUAAGGGUGAAACGGUGGUGUAAGAGACCACCAGCGCCUGAGGCGACUCAGGCGGCUAGGUAAACCCCACCCGGAGCAAGGUCAAGAGGAGCGCGGUAACACGCGCUCUGCGCGGACGUUCGAGGGCGGCCCGCCCGAGUCCGCGGGUAGACCGCACGAGGCCGGCGGCAACGCCGGCCCUAGAUGGAUGGCCGUCUCCCCGGCCGCCGCGAGGCGACCGGGAGACAGAACCCGGCGUACAGCCCGACUCGUCUG
rnacentral:RNase_P_RNA from 1 species